CUGAUGAAUGGAAAGGGUCUCAUAAACAAAUGCCACACCAACACAUGUGAGGGCCCUUCUAUUUCUCCUCCACAAAAGUACAUCUGUAAGAAGCACUUCUUAACCCCUUCGAAUGUAGCUUGAAUUUUGUUGAAGAAACUACCAAGCUAUAAACUGGGCAUGCAGCUUAGGGGAGGGGAAAGGAGGAGAUGAUCAGGAGGGACCCCUGAACUAGCGUGGAUCUACAAGACAGUCCAUGGAUGUCAAUGGGCUGCAUCACUCUUCCAUUGAGCUUUCCUCUCCUUUCAUUCAUUACAAUAAAGGCAACAUGAACAAUGCGAAAGCUUCAGUUUGCUCCCAAAAUUCCUUUUCCUUUCUCGAGUUAGAUAUUUUCAUAGAUAUAUCAACACUAUUUUGUUCUAUUUCUUUUGAUGGAGCCAUAAAUUUUCUCUAAAAUAAGGUUAAAUGUCUUAUUAUUUGAUUUUUUUUUCCUGUCUCUGCAGUUAACUCCUUGGCCAGUCAUUAUUUACAAAAUAUCAAAAGUUGAUGGUACGAGGAAUUCUAAGUGGACUUGCUCGUGUGUGGUAGAUAUGGGUUGUUUGUAGCACACAUGCCAAUUUAGGAUGUGUUAUAGACAUGGGCAUUCAUAUGGGGUUUCUGUAUCAAGCUGGGCUAGCCUUAAAUCGGAGAGCGAGAGGGGAAACAUUCGUGGACCUCAGCAGAGAACAUUUUCCUGUAAACUGAAAAAUAGCAAGAAGUUUAUCACUCCUUUGUUAUAUUUAUGCCGGGAAAAAAAAAAAGGACGAGGUUCCCCUGUUUUCAGUGCAAGAAGCGCACUAGUUCCCCUGGUACUGUUGUGGUU